CCUACGGGCGGCAGCAGUGAGGAAUAUUGGUCAAUGGACGAGAGUCUGAACCAGCCACGUAGCGUGAAGGAUGACUGCCCUAUGGGUUGUAAACUUCUUUUAUCUGGGAAUAAAAUGUUCCACGUGUGGGAUUUUGUAUGUACCAUAUGAAUAAGGAUCGGCUAACUCCGUGCCAGCAGCCGCGGUAAUAAGGAGGAUCCGAGCGUUCUCCGGAUUUAUUUGGUUUAAAGGGAGCGUAGGGGGAUUGUUAAGUCAGUUGUGAAAGUUUGCGGCUCAACCGUAAAAUUGCAGUUGAAACUGGCAGUCUUGAGUACAGGAGAGGUGUGCGGAAUUCGUGGUGUAGCGGUGAAAUGCUUAGAUAUCACGAAGAACUCCGAUUGCGAAGGCAGUUCACUGGACUGCAACUGACACUGAGGCUCGAAAGUGUGGGUAUCAAACAGGAUUAGAUACCCCAGUAGUC
rnacentral:rRNA from 1 species